rnacentral:rRNA from 1 species
GUGGGGAAUAUUGCACAAUGGGGGAAACCCUGAUGCAGCAACGCCGCGUGAGUGAUGACGGCCUUCGGGUUGUAAAACUCUGUCUUUGGGGACGAUAAUGACGGUACCCAAGGAGGAAGCCACGGCUAACUACGUGCCAGCAGCCGCGGUAAUACGUAGGUGGCAAGCGUUGUCCGGAUUUACUGGGCGUAAAGGGAGCGUAGGUGGAUAUUUAAGUGGGAUGUGAAAUACUCGGGCUUAACCUGGGUGCUGCAUUCCAAACUGGAUAUCUAGAGUGCAGGAGAGGAAAGGAGAAUUCCUAGUGUAGCGGUGAAAUGCGUAGAGAUUAGGAAGAAUACCAGUGGCGAAGGCGCCUUUCUGGACUGUAACUGACACUGAGGCUCGAAAGCGUGGGGAGCAAACAGGAUUAGAAACCCUGGUAGUCC